UACGUAGGGUGCAAGCGUUGUCCGGAAUUAUUGGGCGUAAAGAGCUCGUAGGCGGUCUGUUGCGUCGGCUGUGAAAACCCGGGGCUCAACUCCGGGCCUGCAGCCGAUACGGGCAGACUAGAGUUCGGCAGGGGAGACUGGAAUCCUGGUGUAGCGGUGAAAUGCGCAGAUAUCAGGAGGAACACCGGUGGCGAAGGCGGUUCUCUGGGCAUGUUCUGACGCUGAGGAGCGAAAGUGUGGGGAGCGAACAGG
rnacentral:rRNA from 1 species